rnacentral:rRNA from 1 species
UCCAGACUCCUACGGGAGGCAGCAGUGGGGAAUAUUGGGCAAUGGAGGCAACUCUGACCCAGCAACGCCGCGUGAGUGAUGAAGGUCUUCGGAUUGUAAAACUCUUUAAGUGGGGACGAAGAAAGUGACUGUACCCACAGAAUAAGCCUCGGCUAACUACGUGCCAGCAGCCGCGGUAAUACGUAGGGGGCAAGCGUUAUCCGGAUUUACUGGGUGUAAAGGGAGCGUAGACGGCGAUGCAAGUCUGAAGUGAAAGGCGGGGGCCCAACCCCCGGACUGCUUUGGAAACUGUAUAGCUGGAGUGCAGGAGAGGUAAGUGGAAUUCCUAGUGUAGCGGUGAAAUGCGUAGAUAUUAGGAGGAACACCAGUGGCGAAGGCGGCUUACUGGACUGUAACUGACGUUGAGGCUCGAAAGCGUGGGGAGCAAACAGGAUUAGAUACCCCCGUA